rnacentral:lncRNA from 1 species
AAAGAAACAGAGAGCAAAACAAAACAGAGAAGGGAGAAAGAAAGAAACAGAGAGCAAAACGAAACAGAGAAGGAAGGAAGGAAAGAAAGAAAGAAAAGAAAAGAAAAAGGGAAAUUUGGGGUUUUAAGGUUCAAAGUAAUUUGAUCAAGAAGUACGAAACUCGAGGUUAGACAAAGGGAAGAAUAAAGUUGAAGACUAAGUUGGUGAAUUUGGCUAUAAUUUGUACCGAGGUAAGUUUACGGUAAAUAAAUGCAAUAUUUCAAUAUUUAUUAUUAAUGCUGUUAAUUUCCAGCAAUUAUGAAUUUAUUUGAUGAUGAUCCAAGCAUGAAAUGAUAGAGAAUAAAAAUUUAAAAGUCCCGUUGAUACAUAAGGAUGGUACUGGAUACGAAUGUCAUGACAUUUGGGUAAAGAGAUCCCAUGUAAGACCAUGUCUGGGACAUGGCAUUGGCAUCCUUAAGAUCAUGAGAGGUCCCCUGUAAGACCAUGUCUGGGACAUGGCAUGGGCACCGAGACGAGAGGUCCCAUGUAAGACCAUGUCUGGGACAUGGCGUUGGCACCGAGAUGAGAGGUCCCCUAUAAGACCAUGUCUGGGACAUGGCAUGGGCACCAUCACGAGAACAUCCCAUGUAAGACCAUGUCUGGGACAUGGCUUUGGCAUGUUAUUAUCAGAAGAGACCCGAGUAUCCUUAUUAUUCCAAUGUAGUUCAACGGGCUUGUAAACGAAUCAUGUUCAUGAAAGUUCAGUUUAAAGCAUAAAUGGCAAGCUCAGGUAAGUUGUAAGACUUAAGAACUUAUUAUACUAUCAAUUGAUGUUCAACGAUGCAGCAAGGAUUGAGUAAGUUAUGCACACAAAUAUUCUAAGUAAACAAGUAAGAGAACUAGUAUGAGAUUAACUAAAGAGUAAACUAGAGAUAUAGACAUUGAGUUUAAUUAUUUAAGUUAAAUAUUGUUAUUUAUUUGCUAGUAAACUUACUAAGCUUUAUGCUUACUUCUUUUAUUUCUCUUUCUCUUAUAGUAUUGCAAAGCUACUUCAAGGAUCCUAAAGAAGUCGGAGAUCGUCCACACUAUCAACUACAACUGCUCGGUAUUUUAUAUCGAAACACGUUUAAGUUAUGGCAUGUAUAGGGAUUUAGUUAUUUUGUAUGUUUGUAGUGAUGAUUUUGCUAAUGAGUGAUGUGUAAGUAUUUGAUGAUGUAUGAUUAUUAAAAUGAUUAAGGAUGAAGGUGUUUGUUGUUAUGAAAGAUUAGGUGAUAAAUUAUGCAUGGAAAUCAUGAAAGGAUAAAAUUUUGCAAAGAAACAGAAUUCAGGCAGCACAGUGACGUGAAUUUGAAAAAUCACCCAAGAUAGUAUAAAAUGAAUUAGAGGGUGAAUGAUAUAUGGAAUUAAAGCUUGUUGAGUCUAUUUUCAUGGAAAAAAACGGUGUAGAAAAAAAGAAAUUUAUAUUUUAAGAUAUGUGAAUUUUAGUAAGAUAGGGUCAGAACUGUUUUUUUGGAGUCCCCUGUUCUGAGUUUAGAAAAUAAUUACAAAUUGUACAAAAAUGUUUAUGAGUUGAAAUUUACAUGCUUAGAUUCCUUGAUGAGUCUAUUUUCUAUAGAAACAAGUAAUAACUUCAUAUGAAAAUCCUAUAGUGAGAAAACUUAUUUUUAGUGACUAGAGGUCAGGGCAGUCUGGUGGUGACACAGGGGAGACUUUAACUAAUAAACUGUACUAAUUUGCUAAACCAAAAAUUCUAAAAAUUUUAUGGUGAGUAGAUAUAUGAGUCUAGUUUCAGGGAAAAUUUACGGGAUUAAAUUUCGAGUUCUGUAGCUCAAGUUAUAAUUAAUUUAGUAACUGCUGCGCGAUUAGACAGAUUUGCUGCGAAUAAUGAAAUAAAUUUUCAAACCUAGUUUUUAUGCUCCGAAUUGGUAAGAUAAGAUAAGUAAUUGUAACAGCCCAAUUUUCAGUAGUGUCAGAACAGUGAUUUGAGAUCACUAAAUUCGAUGAAGAAGUUAGAAAUAUUUUUGAAUUAGUGAAUUUUGUGAUUUAAAAGAAAUUAUUAGGUAAAUUGGGUCGAAAACGAGGUAUCGAGACCUCGAUAUUAUAAACUGAGCCGUAAAUAUUUUUAUAAAUAUUUACGGAGUGUCAAUAGGAUAAUAUUAAAGUUUCGUUAAGAAAUUUUAAUGUUUCGAUAGUUAAUUAUGAAAAAGGAUUAAAUUGCAAUAGGGAUAAAAGUUUAAUUAUAGAUUAAAGAAAAGUUAAAAGGACCAAAUAGGCAAUUAUGCCUUUUUCUAAAGUUGAGGCGGCAUAAUGAAAGAAAUAUCUGAGAUAUUCUAGUUAAUAUAUAUUAUAUAUAUGUAAGUAAUGAUUAUUAUUAAUAUUUUAUAUUAUAUUAUAUUAUAUAUAUAUAACAAAAGAAAGAAUAGAAAUGAGAAAGAAAGAAACAGAGAGCAAAACGAAACAGAGAAGGGAGAAAGAAGAAAAAGAAAGAGCGACGGUUCAGGGGUUUCAAAACUUCUAAAUUCAAUUGGUAAGUCAAUUUAGUCCAUUUUUCUUAUGGUUUUGAUAUUUUUGGAAUCCUAGAGCAAGAUACUACUUGAUUUAAGUGGAAAUUUUGGAAGUUAGUAGGUUAUUAGAUGUUGUUCAUGUUGAAUUAAUUGAUGAAUUAGAUGUUAAAAUGAUUGAAUUUUAAGUUAAAAGUUAGUAAAAGGUUGAUUUGUAAAAUAAAACAUAAGUUUUGAAUUGAUAGGAAUUAAAUUGAAAGAAUCCCGAAAUUAGGGAUUUAUGGGGAAAUUGAAGAAUUAAACUGAGUUUAUAGUAAGAAUUAAGAGAGAAUAGAGUUAGAAUGCAAAAAUAAAAUUAGUAUUGAUAAGGGAUUAAAUUAGAAUUUGAUGUUGCCAUAGAAGGGAAAAAUGUUCAGAAUGUUAUAAAACAUAAGAAUAAGAGAUGAAGUUUAAUUUCCGAGCCUUGGGGCAAAAAUAUAAUUAUGUAAAAGUUUAGGGGCAAAAUUGUAAUUUUGAAAAAGUUAGAGUCGAGGGCUAUUUUGAUGAAUGUGAUUAUUAAAUAAGUUAAAUUUACUAUUUUAGAUCAAGAAGUACGAAACUCGAGGUUAGACAAAGGGAAGAAUAAAGUUGAAGACUAAGUUGGUGAAUUUGGCUAUAAUUGGUACCGAGGUAAGUUUACGGUAAAUAAAUGCAAUAUUUCAAUAUUUAUUAUUAAUGCUGUUAAUUUCCAGCAAUUAUGAAUUUAUUUGAUGAUGAUCCAAGCAUGAAAUGAUAGAGAAUUAAAAUUUAAAAGUCCCGUUGAUACAUAAGGAUGGUACUGGAUACGAAUGUC